rnacentral:rRNA from 1 species
GGUUGCGAUCAUACCAGCACUAAUGCACCGGAUCCCAUCAGAACUCCGCAGUUAAGCGUGCUUGGGCGAGAGUAGUUCUAGGAUGGGUGACCUCCUGGGAAGUCCUCGUGUUGCAACCC